UUUUUUUUUUUUUCUUUUUAUCUCUUUAAUAGUGGAAUUGAAGCCAUCUUUGCUGUCUAAACUUUCUUACUGACUUUGUUUUAUUUCAGCUCUCAAGUUAGCCAUCAAUAUCCUUGAGAAGCAGUUCCCAAACAAACAAUAUAUAUCUGUGAGGUCUUCUCAGAGCUGACUGAAGAUUACAAGACUGCAAGCAUGCAUUACUAAUGUGGUUCAGUUUUAUGUUCCUGCUAGGUUAAACCUCAGUGAAGCUAUCCUUAUCUCAGUAAACAGCCUCCUGAAGUCCUCCUGAGGUUAAAUUACUUCUAAAACUGACUCUGCAUCUUGUCCCUUUCAGGUAGUUCUUAAAUCCUUCUUAAUUUGUAUUUAGAAGAAAUUGGUAAAAGUUUCAGAAGUUUUCAGUGCACUCUAAGUUUCAUGCAUAGUGAAAGUUUUGUAUCCAUCUGUUUUAAUUUUGUUUUACAGAAAUAUUGGCCCAAAAGGUAUCUAUUCCAUCCUGAGUAAAGUAACUUGUGACUGUGUGCAAUAUUGACAAACUGCAGUGCCACGCUGAUUAUAGCAUCAUAGUUGGCUAUCUAUACGUUGUAUGAAAUGCACAAUCACUAUGCAGUAUCACACUUAGAGCUAACAGGCUAUUCAAAUUCUUAAAUUCCAAAUAUCAAAUACUGUUCUCAACAUCCAGACUUAUUCCCAGCUGCCAGAACUAUAGACAUUUUCUCCUUAAGCAACUCUUCCUCCAUCUUUUCAGAAACAAGGAACAGAUCAGCAAGAGUCAAGACAAUGGUAAUUGCUCCCUAGGGAUAAAACAGAACCCAAAUUUUACGAAGUAUCUAAUGCAACCGGAUUUGCCUUUUUCCCCUUGAGAAAAGUCCAAUGUAAACGUAGUUAUUUACAGUCAAACUUGCUCAACAAAUAACAUUUUCAAUUUAAUGGCCUUUAUUGCAGCCAUGGAGAAGCUUGUGCUGGGUCUUUUGGUAAGCCAGUAGUAUGUCCACUCAGAGAGGAUGAUUCUGAAAAUCAGCUGAAAAGCUAAGGUUUCAUAAAGUCCAAAGCUUUAAUUCUUCAUCCCUGACUUAAGUGUCCUUCUCUCCCUCACUGUUUGUUUCUCCCAGUUUAACUAUUAAGCUGUACUUCCAAGAUUAAAUUUUCAUAAUGACACUAUAUUUUUAUAGCUCACUUUUCCUGUUUAGUGAUUUCAAACCAGAACAUUUUAGACUGUUAUUUUAUCAAGUCUUGCAAACUGUAGCGCUUUGGCCCCCUUACUGUUUGACUGUGCCAAAAGCUGUAGCUUACAGACGUGCCAAAAAUAUGUUGUCAUACUUCAAAUAGCAUCUUAUGUUUAGCACGAUCAUUCCAAAAUAGAUAAGAUUUUGGGAAACAAUUGGCACCUUUGUGUUCAACUUCAUACAACACCAGACAGGUCCAUAUUGAAGACAAAUGUUUACUUUUCUCUGAGACCAGAGGCCUAUUCAAGGUGAAGUGAGCAACAAAUUUGAAACAAGAAAAAAUUGACUAUUUCUAGAAACCUGGUCUAUAUAACUUGCAGUUUGUUGUUUAGUGAUGUUUUAUUGCCAUGAACUUAUGCUAAAACCAUGACAGACAUUGCCGCUUCUGUAUAAACAGUGCAUGAGAAGUAAUUGCUGUUCCACUCAGGCACAGCGUGAUAAGGCACAAAAGAAAUAAAAAAAGAAAAGAUUCCUACACAGCCAUAAAAAUAGCACACCACUUGCUUAAAAUUUUUACAUAUAAUUUUAAAUACAUGCAGAAAGCAGAUAACACAACCUUGUAAUGAUUGUAAUAAUUAUCAAGUAAGCUUUUUGAAAUUGUACGGCUAUUGCUAUAGGACCUUGAGCAGAGACUAAGUAAAGAAAGCAGCAAUUGUAAAGCAAUUAACCUUGUUCUACUGCUGUCACUUUUUAGGAUAGUAUUAAAAACUACUUUCCAUUUUUGACCUUUAGAGAAUAAUAAAAGACUAGGCGAUAGUAUUCAACCAAGAGAAAAUUUUGCUUCAAUGUGUAUUUCCCUACCAUUAUUUGGAGUGAUUGGAUCCUACUUUGAGCUCGAAGAGCAAUCAUAUGCUGAUGUAAACUGCUGGUAAGAUAUUGAACUUUUUAUACAGGUCAGGUUAUACCUUGCUUGGAUUGCUACAUUAACUCUGCUUUAAAUAGAUAGCUUUAAAAGAUAGCUAAACUUAUCACAGUUGAAAGGGCAAGUGCAAGGGACUUCUUGAAUAGAGCACUCUGGCUUGAGAGUCUUCAUUAGUAUUAGAUGAGAAUCAAGGCACAGAGAAAGCAGUAGGAAUGGUACUGUUUGAACAGAGUAAAAACUUCAUAUUUGGGAAGCUCUAUACAGAAGCCUAGAUGAAAUACACAACCAUUUGCAAAAAAACCUAUUAGUAAAGAUUAUUGCCAGGCUUGGAGAAGUUCCUCCAAUGCAAAGUGCCUAUGCAGCCUGAGUUGGCCUCUCUUCUGCAUCUCCCCUGAUGACUUUCAGGAAAGAACAGAUCUAGCAGUCAUAUAAAAAAUAUGGAAAAAAGGAGGUACGUAGAUGACACCAAGAUGAAGAAGUAGUAAAAUACUCUGGAGGACAAAGCCAUCGUGACUAUGAUAAAUUGGACAAGUGGUGCAAGAAUAUGAAGGACAAUAAAGAACUAAGUGAUUGAUUUUUCUUUUGCUCAGUUGAACACCUAACUGCAAAACAAGGACCACAGCCUCCAAGGACUGGAGCUUCAAGUGCAAAAAAAUAAGCAGGAGUCUUUCUUACCAAAACCACCAUCUAAUGCAGAUGAAAUUUGGUACAUGUGCUGCAUUUAUGACAGUUGCAUUUAUGGCAAAUGCACUCCGCUUCGACUUCACACUGAUGACAGCCAUCACUGAGUCUCCAGUUUUAAGUACCACACUUAGAGAGACAGAAAAAAAGAUAGUAAAAUAAUACACUAAGGUGCUCAUUCCUGUAGUGAGAGAGGUCACUAGUGUGAGAGGAGUCAGGUUGUUUGGCACUUGAGGGGCUGGCUCCUAAUGUAGCUGCCAUCUCUCCCAUGCUUCCCAUUUUACCCAGCAGGAAUGAUCCACCUCCAUCUUCAUACAUGC
rnacentral:lncRNA from 1 species